rnacentral:rRNA from 1 species
AACGAACGCUGGCGGCAUGCCUAACACAUGCAAGUCGAACGAGACCUUCGGGUCUAGUGGCGCACGGGUGCGUAACGCGUGGGAACCUGCCCUUAGGUUCGGAAUAACUCCCCGAAAGGGGUGCUAAUACCGGAUAAUGUCUUCGGACCAAGGAUUUAUCGCCUUUGGAUGGGCCCGCGUUGGAUUAGCUAGUUGGUAGGGUAAAAGCCUACCAAGGCGACGAUCCAUAGCUGGUCUGAGAGGAUGAUCAGCCACACUGGGACUGAGACACGGCCCAGACUCCUACGGGAGGCAGCAGUGGGGAAUAUUGGACAAUGGGCGAAAGCCUGAUCCAGCACUGCCGCGUGAGUGAUGAAGGCCUUAGGGUUGUAAAGCUCUUUUACCCGGGAUGAUAAUGACAGUACCGGGAGAAUAAGCUCCGGCUAACUCCGUG